CACCUUGUCCUCACGGUCCAGUUUUCCCAGGAAUCCCUUAAAUGCUAAGAUGGGGAUUCCUGGAAAUACUGUUCUUGAGGUCAUGGU
rnacentral:pre_miRNA from 8 species